UACGUAGGGUGCGAGCGUUGUCCGGAAUUAUUGGGCGUAAAGAGCUCGUAGGCGGUUUUGUUGCGUCGGCCGUGAAAAACUUCGACGCUUAACGUGGAGCUUGCGGUCGAUACGGGCAGACUUGAGUUCGGUAGGGGAGACUGGGAAUUCCUGGUGUAGCGGUGAAAUGCGCAGAUAAUCAGGAGGAACACCGGUGGCGA
rnacentral:rRNA from 1 species